GGGCGCGUAGUUCAGCGGUAUGAACGUCCGCCUCACACGCGGAAGGUCGCUGGUUCGAUCCCAGCCGCGCCCA
rfam:Betaproteobacteria bacterium RIFCSPLOWO2_12_FTLL_63_13 rifcsplowo2_12_scaffold_18368, whole genome shotgun sequence.